CACAGGUGCUGCAUGGCUGUCGUCAGCUCGUGUCGUGAGAUGUUGGUUAAGUCCGCAACGAGCGCAACCCUUGUCAUUAGUUGCUACGAAAGGGCACUCUAAUGAGACUGCCGGUGACAAACCGGAGGAAGGUGGGGAUGACGUCAAGUCCUCAUGGCCCUUAUAGGUGGGCUACACACGUCAUACAAUGGCUGGUACAAAGGGUUGCCAACCCGCAGGGGAGCCAAUCCCAUAAAGCCAGUCGUAGUCCGGAUCGCAGUCUGCAACUCGACUGCGUGAAGUCGGAAUCGCUAGUAAUCGUGGAUCAGCAUGUCACGGUGAAUACGUUCCCGGGUCUU
rnacentral:rRNA from 1 species